rnacentral:lncRNA from 1 species
UUUAAUUUUUUGUCGUUCAAGUUCAAAUCUAGAACAGUCAUAAGUUUUUACAACUUAGAAACACUUAAUAAAAAAAACUGGUAACACAAAAAGAAUUUGGCAAAAGCUAUUACAAAUGGUGUUAAUUACAAAAGCAUAUUUUUUUCAUACUCAAUUUUAACACGGAAUAAAUAAAAACCAAGGAUAAAACUUCAUAUCAUUAUCAUUUUUCUGUGACAACAAGUACAACUUUAUGUAUGAAAUAAUUUAUUAGUCUGAUAUGUGAAUAAACUAGAUGUACUUAGGUGAGGCUUGAGAAAUUAAAAAAAUCAAGAAUUUAAAAUUGAUACUAUAAGUCAGAAGAGCAUCAAUUAAGGAUAAAAAUAAGCUAAAAAUAUUGAUUGGUCAUGGACCUACUUUUCGAGAUAUUUGAGAUAUAAAAUAUGGCGGGAAAAGGCUGACUCAGACUUUUACCUUAUUUUUGCAUUGGUAUCAUUAGGUCUCAAAACAAAAGAAAGAAAAUUAAGAAUCUUCUAAAAUUUUGUUAAAUGACCUUUCAUGAGCUAUUAAGUCUUAUAUGAAAAAAUAAAUGGGUGUUAUGGGCAAAAAUAUUUACAUUGUAUUGUAGGAAAAACACCAAGGAGUCCGAACAUUUGACACAAAUUCCCAAACCUCACCUAAGUACAUCCUUAACUAGAUGUUUUCAUUGUCAUCUCCCUCCCCCCCACCUAAGUGUUGUACAUAAUUCAUCAACAAGAACUAUGUAUUUAGGGAAUUCUCUCCAAUUUGGACAACUACACAUUGAAGUGACCUACUGGAUCGGGGAAUCAAAAUUUGAUAGAUUUCUACUUUAAAAAAUCAAAAAAACAGUGAAAAGUUUGCAAAUAACAAGAGAAAUAAAAAAAUCAAGGUUUUUAAGUAAUCAAGAAUUAUAGGAAUGACGAUCACAUCUAAUUUUAUACAGUCAAUAGACAGUUUGUCUAGCAGUACAUUAACAAAAUGUUUUGCUGUCUUUUUAUUACAAAAAAUAUUAAAUGUCACAAACUUAAAGUGAAAGGUUAAUUAGCAGACAUCAUAAAAUGAUGGAUAGCUAGUUAUUGAUAACUGCCCCAUAGAUUUUUGGGCAAUAUGAUCAGCAUUAAUUUUGUAAACUGAUUUUCCUUGGUACUUUGUGAAUGUUCAGUUUAUUCUAUUCUACUGAAUUGUGUUCUAUGAAAAUGUGCAUUUAGUGUAUUGCUUAUCGAAAAAAGAAAAUAUUUAGAAUAUUUAUUUGUAAAUAUAUAUGGCAUUGAAUCCAGAAGGUGCAAUAUUCAUCUGUGUCAAUGUAUACCGCUAAAUAUUUUACUUAUAUUAUCAUCAUACCUCACUCUGUAAAAAUGUCCAGAAAAUAUCACAUUUUACUCAGAGCUGUUUUAUUUAAACAAACAUGAACUUUUAGUUUCUUGUGUACAAUUUGGAGUUUAGUAUGGUGUUCAUUAUCAUUGAACCAGUAUAUAUUUGUUUAGGGGCCAGCUGAAGGAAGCCUCCGGGUGCGAGAAUUUCUCGUUGCAUUGAAGACCUGUUGGUGACCUUCUGCUGUUGUCUGCUCUAUGGUCGGAUUGUUGUCUCUUUGGCACAUUCCCCAUUUCCAUUCUCAAUUUUAUGGUACAGAGGAACGGCACAUUCAAAAAGGGGGUAACCAUCUAUAGAGGUAAAUUUAUUAUAUCUCUAACAUUUUCAUUGUACUUGACUACCAACCAUAGUGGACAUUUUAAAGUGCAAUCCCUGUAUCCAAUUUAUGUUUUUAAUGGAACAGCCAUAGCAGUGUUUGUAGUAAAUUAAUGAAAUCAUUUAUAAUAACCAAUAUGUUAUGUAUAAAAAUUAUGUGAAUUUGUUAUAUUUUAUUUUGGUGGGAAUGCCAUUAAACAAAACUUUUACUUUGAAAAAUCAUUGAAAUAAAAAAAUAAAAAUGAUUUGAAUGAAAAUCUAAAAGUUUUGUAUUUUCAUCAUGGCAUUCAAACAAUUUAAGAAUCAAACCUUUUGUAUUGCUGUCUCAUUGACAUAUGCCCACAUUAUCUUGUAUUUAUAUGAUUUGAAUUUUGACAACAUUUGGAUAGAAUUUUUUUUCUUAAUAAUUUGCACCGUUAUUAUGUUUUUAGUUAUACAUUCUUUGUGUAGAAAGCACAAUCAUCUUAUGAAAUAAACUGCACAUUUAUCUUAAAUUCAAUGAAAACGAUUGAAAUUUAAAUAACAUGGCAGAAUUUUUAUAAGUGUGUGUGUGUUUGGUAAUUAUAAAUGGAACAUAGAAAAUUUGCAUGUCCAGAUAAAUAAAUACUGUGUAUGUAGUGUAAUUGACAAUCAAUUAAUCCAAAGGAAAAAUUAUAGCAUUUAUUACUAAUGGGCUGUUUUGCAUUGACAACAUUAAUGUUAUCGCAAAUUGUUCAAUAUUUCAAUUCAAAUCAGAAAUUCAAUCAGUUUGCCUCCAACUUGAGAUAAAGGUUAAUAACUUCAACCUCAAAUUAUGUUAAUUAAAAACUAUCUUUACAGUGAAACCUAUAUAAACUAAACCCUUGUGAGUCUUUAAGUUGAUAUCUCAGAAUGUUUAACAUUAAAAUUCCAAUCCAGUGUCAGUGGUUUAAACUAUUUCAGUGGCGGAUCCAGGGGGGUGUUGGGGUUAGAACACCCCUUUUAUUGACCUAUCAAUGCAUUUGAAUGGGGACAUAUAGUUGGAUCCCCCCUUUAUCCUGGGUUGGGAACCCCCAGUUUUAAACUGGCUGGAUCCACCCCUGUAUUUGUAUAAACUGUUGUAUUUUAGUACAUAGAGGAACCUAAUGCUUUUAAACCUAGAAUAAUAUGCCUUUUGUUUGGAAGUUUCUUUCUGAUAUAUGUUGAUUGUUUAUGACCUAUUUACAUUGUUUAGAGCCACCAAAAAAAAUCGAGUUUUAUGUCAUGUUAAUUACUUACUUAUUUUAUUUAGAAUAUGGAGACUGUUCAUGUUUGUCUGAAAGGAUUCAUCUAACUUCAAUUUCAUUUCAUAGGUCAGUGAUCAAAGUUAACUUUUAAUAGUAGAUUUAUUCUCAGAUACUGAAAGCAGUUGGUCAACAAUAUUUGAUUUAUGGAAUGAUUGGUAGGUGUAAAUGUCCACUGGCUGGGUUCAUCUGACCCUUGACCUCAUUUUGAUGUGUGAUUGAUAAUGUUAAGCUUAUUUGAUACUUAAAUGUACUAAAACUUUUAUCUUUAAGACUUUCAACAUGAAUUCAGAUCAUUAAACAAGUCCAGACUUUUCAGCAAAAUUACUUGGGGUUUGGUUGAAACAGGUUUAAUUGUAUGUUUACUCAGGGUUUGGUUGAGACUGGUUUCAUUGCAUGUUGAUAGAUAAUUUACAAUAUGUCAUAUUAAAUAAACUCUCAUUCACCGCUGCAUAGGGAAAAAUUCAUCUACAUGUAUGUGCUUGUAUUUAUUUACAGUUCGAAAUAAAUAUGAUUUUGUGUACUGUGUUUGAAUUUUAUUCCAUUUAAGUGACUUCACUGCUUAGUUCCACACAACUUCUUUAUAUGGUGUUUCUAGUAUCUAUAUGAAUAAAAUGUUUG